UGGAAACGAAGCAAGAACUGGAUGGAGCUCAGGAUUUUGCUACUACCUUGCUAAUAGCUUUGUGAGGCAUGUCACCGAUGGCAAGUGCAAGAAGAAAGCACCAAGGAAAAUCCACAAAUCCAAGAGGCAGAAGCAUAAGCGCGUCCUGCUCAAUGAUCUCUUGGGUGAACUUAU